rnacentral:rRNA from 1 species
UACGUAGGGACCAAGCGUUGUCCGGAAUCAUUGGGCGUAAAGCGCGCGUAGGUGGCUUCAUAAGUCCGUUGUGAAAGUCAAAGGCUCAACCUUUGAAAGCCGAUGGAUACUGUGGAGCUAGAGUACGGAAGAGGCGAGUGGAAUUCCUGGUGUAGCGGUGGAAUGCGCAGAUAUCAGGAGGAACACCAAUAGCGAAGGCAGCUCGCUGGGACGUUUACUGACACUAAGGCGCGAAAAGCGUGGGGGAGCGAACAGG